CGCUGGGAUGCCGUGGGCUGUGGGCCGGCGGUGGGCAUGGAUCACCCUGUUUCUGACUAUUGUGGCGGUGCUGAUCCAGGCGGUCUGGCUGUGGCUGGGUACUCAGAGCUUCGUCUUCCAGAGAGAAGAGAUAGCUCAGCUUGCUCGACAGUACGCAGGGCUGGACCAUGAGCUGGCCUUCUCUCGGCUGAUCGUGGAGCUGCGGAGGCUGCACCCAGGCCACGUGCUGCCGGAUGAGGAGCUGCAGUGGGUGUUUGUGAACGCGGGCGGCUGGAUGGGCGCCAUGUGUCUUUUGCACGCCUCGCUGUCUGAGACGAUACUGGGCUGAGAUUUCAGAUACCAUCAUCUCUGGCACUUUCCACCAGUGGAGAGAGGGCACCACAAAAAGUGAGGUCUAUUACCCAGGAGAGACGGUUGUCCAUGGACCUGGAGAGGCAACAGCUGUGGAGUGGGGACCAAACACGUGGAUGGUGGAGUAUGGCCGGGGUGUUAUUCCGUCUACCCUGGCAUUUGCACUUAGUGACACUAUUUUCAGCACCCAGGACUUCCUCACCCUCUUCUAUACCCUUCGCGCCUAUGCCCGGGGCCUCCGGCUUGAGCUCACCACCUACCUCUUUGGCCAAGACCCCUGACCAGACAGGCUGAAGGAAGACCUGCGAGUGGACAGGAGCGGGCAGGACCACAUCCAUUUCUCUACUCGCUGGGACUCAUGUUCACUGACAGCAGCAUAUACCAUGCAGAUAAUUAAGUUCCUGCUGUGUGAGGAAGGACAUACAUACACAUACAUCCAGACACAGCUCUUGGGGAGCAAUGAGACGCAGAGAUGCUAAGACUUGUAUGUACUGUAAGAUCAUGCACUCACCUCCAUCCAGAGAGGGUCCCCGACGUAUACUCCAGGGGGGCGCCCAGUCAUGUUUGAACACAUACCACGAGCUUGACUCACCUGACUCAGGCUUUUCCAG
rnacentral:lncRNA from 1 species